rnacentral:rRNA from 1 species
CCUACGGGAGGCAGCAGUGAGGAAUAUUGGUCAAUGGACGAGAGUCUGAACCAGCCAAGUAGCGUGAAGGAUGACUGCCCUAUGGGUUGUAAACUUCUUUUAUACGGGAAUAAAGUGAUCCACGUGUGGAUUUUUGUAUGUACCGUAUGAAUAAGGAUCGGCUAACUCCGUGCCAGCAGCCGCGGUAAUACGGAGGAUCCGAGCGUUAUCCGGAUUUAUUGGGUUUAAAGGGAGCGUAGGCGGAUUGUUAAGUCAGUUGUGAAAGUUUGCGGCUCAACCGUAAAAUUGCAGUUGAUACUGGCAGUCUUGAGUGCAGUAGAGGUGGGCGGAAUUCGUGGUGUAGCGGUGAAAUGCUUAGAUAUCACGAAGAACUCCGAUUGCGAAGGCAGCACACUAAGCCGUAACUGACGUUCAUGCUCGAAAG